rnacentral:misc_RNA from 1 species
GUAGGUGAACCUGCGGAAGGAUCAUUCAUAAUAAGUGUUUUAUGGCACUUUUUAAAUCCAUAUCCACCUUGUGUGCAAUGUCAGUACCAAACAUCAACCUUUAUUUUUUAACUCUUUGUCUGAAAAAUAUUAUGAAUAAACAAUUCAAAAUACAACUUUCAACAACGGAUCUCUUGGCUCUC